rnacentral:tRNA from 1 species
UAGGCGGCAGGUUAUAGCCCUGUACAGGCGGGUUUAGCCCCGUCCUUAUCAA